rnacentral:rRNA from 1 species
CAUGCUAGUCGAGCGAGUUGAGACUCGCGGCGCACAGCUCAGCAACACGUGGCCAAGCUACCCUUCAGUCAGCGAUACCCUCGGGAAACUGAGGUUAACAGCUGAUACAAAACGCCAGCUGGAAUGCGGCGUUUCAGAAAGAGACCGCUGAAGGAUGCGGCUGCGGCCGAUUAGGUAGACGGUGAGGUAACGGCUCACCGUGCCCAUAAUCGGUACGGGUUGUGAGAGCAAGAGCCCGGAGACGGUAUCUGAGACAAGAUACCGGGCCCUACGGGGCGCAGCAGGCGCGAAAACUUUACACUGCACGACAGUGCGAUAAGGGAACUCCGAGUGCGAGGGCAUAUCGUCCUCGCUUUUCUGUACCGUAGGGAGGUACAAGAAUAAGAGCUGGGCAAGACCGGUGCCAGCCGCCGCGGUAACACCGGCAGCUCGAGUGAUGGCCGAUAUUAUUGGGCCUAAAGCGUCCGUAGCCAGCUGAACAGGUCCGUUGGGAAAUCUGCUCGCUCAACGAGCAGGCGUCCGGCGGAAGCCAGUCAGCUUGGGACCGAGAGGACCGAAGGGUACGUCCGGGGUAGGAGUGAAAUCCCGUAAUCCUGGACGGACCACCGAUGGCGAAAGCACUUCGGUAGAUCGGAUCCGACGGUGAGGGACGAAAGCUAGGGUCACGAACCGGAUUAGAUACCCGGGUAGUCCUAGCCGUAAACGAUGCUCGUUAGGUGUGGCGCAACUACGAGUUUGUGCCUUGCCGCAGCGAAGGCGAUAAACGAGCCGCCUGGGAAGUACGUCCGCAAGGAUGAAACUUAAAGGAAUUGGCGGGGGGAGCACUACAACCGGAGGAGCCUGCGGUUUAAUUGGAUUCAACGCCGGA